UACGUAGGGACCGAGCGUUGUCCGGAUUUAUUGGGCGUAAAGAGCGUGUAGGCGGCCAGGUAGGUCUGCUGUGAAAACUCGAGGCUUAACCUCGAGCUGUCGGCGGAAACCAUCUGGCUAGAGUCCGGAAGAGGAGAAUGGAAUUCCCGGUGUAGCGGUGAAAUGCGCAGAUAUCGGGAAGAACACCCGUGGCGAAGGCGGUUCUCUGGGACGGUACUGACGCUGAGACGCGAAAGCGUGGGGAGCGAACAGG
rnacentral:rRNA from 1 species